rnacentral:snRNA from 1 species
AUCGCUUCUCGGCCUUUUGGCUAAGAUCAAGUAUAGUAUCUAAUAUCAAGCGACAAGGCUUGUGGAAUUUUCCGGAGCUGGCACUGAGGUCUACAUGGCCCCCUCCCGCUGGUCCCCGCGUCCCCCACCUCUGGGCGGUCGUCAUGAUGGCGU